UCCUUUUGUAGAUAAUUUAAGGUCUAGCCUGCCCACUGAAAUUUUAAAUGGCCGUGGUAUUUUGACCGUGCUAAGGUAGCAUAAUCAUUAGUUUUUUAAUUAAAAACUGGAAUGAAAGGUUGGAUGAGAAAAUAGCUGUCUCUAUUAAAUUUAAUUAGAAUUUUAUUUUUAAGUUAAAAAGCUUAAUUAUUAUUAAAAGACGAGAAGACCCUAUAGAGUUUAAUUAUUUAGUAAAAAGUAUAUUUUAGUAUUAAUUUAUUUAUUUUAUUAAAUAAUUUAAUUGGGGUGAUUGAAAAAUUUAAUUAACUUUUUUUAUUUAAGAACAUUAAUUUAUGAAUAAAUGAUCCAAUAUUUUUGAUUAUAAGAUAAAAUUACCUUAGGGAUAACAGCGUAAUUUUUUUAGAAAGUUCACAUUAAAAAAAAAGAUUGCGACCUCGAUGUUGGAUUAAAAUAAAUUUUUGGUGUAGAAGCUAAAAUAUUAGGUCUGUUCGACCUUUAAAAUUUUACAUGAU
rnacentral:rRNA from 1 species